CAAAAUACUAUUAAGUGAAAAAAACAAACAAACAAACAAUGCUUUUGUAGGGAAGGGAGCUAGGUGCCCAGGUAGCCAAUGUCAAUAAACUUAGGCUGGACUUUUGAGUUUGAAUACUGCCUCCCUCCACCCCCCAAAAAAAAAACAUUAAGAGAAAAUGCAAUCGAUUCAGUUUCCAUUUUAGAAGAGUUUGCUCUUUGGUAAUGCUUCAUUUCCCUUUUUGAGUUUCAGCAAAGAUUCAGCAAAAUGAGAAACAGUUAACACCUCAGUAGCUAACAAACACUGGGUGGCAAGAAGAAGGUGUUAUACCUCAGACCCCAUGCUGAGUGGCCUACCUUUGACGAUCCUCACCUUUACUCCUCCUCUCCCCCACAACUAAAGGUGGAGAGGAGAAUGAUCAAGGAAGACUUCAUGGAAGAGAUGGCAACCGAGCUAAAUCUUGAGAGAAAAGAAGGAUUUUCACAGAAGGAGAUGUGGGAAGAGGGUAUGUUCUGGCAUGUAAUAGGAAGAAGCAGGAGAGAGCAAGACAAAAUUGUGGAGAAACAAAAAUCUUACUUUUGCUGAAAUGAAGGCAAGUAGAAUCAAAUCAAAUUGGAAAGGAGGGGAUAAUGCAUAGUGAAAUAUCCCCAAAAUGAGCAGCUGUAAGAGGAGGAUAAGCAAAUGACCUGAAUCGACCACAAAAUGGAUAAUCAGACAGCUUCUAAACAUCAAGCACCGCCUGUGUCUUUCUCCUCCAAUAAAGCAAUCGAUGGGAAUAUGAAGACUGAUUCAAACUGCCUCUUUUUUUUUGUCCCUGAACCAACUGGCUCACCCUGACCACAUUCUUUCAUCCUGGAUAUAGUAGAAUUGUAAAUUUCUAUAAUCAUGAA